ensembl:lncRNA
ACACAGCAACAAAAUUUUCCUCUCGGAUAUGCACAGCUCUGAUGGGAUAUGUGUAUACAGUGGAGAGCAGCAUUCACAAGUCAACAUGUACUAUGAGGUUUUGCAACAAUAAUGUAACUGAAGUUUUUUCUUCUACACCUGAACUUGAAAGAAGUACUGCAUUUUAAUCUCCUGAAGGAUGUUUUAGUUACAGUUCUAGAUACGGCUUAGUUAAGUCCUUCAAAAUUAAACCUAUGCAAAGAAAUCCAAAAUGCUCUGGGCUAAAAUUAUUUUUAGGAUGCACAUUCCUGUAAAGUGUGCUAUUUGUAAGUAUUACCUUACGUGUGACUUGGUGCAUUUCCCAUUCUCCAGGUUGUUCAGCUCCCUAAUACCCUGCCUAACUGAAGUUGGAGACAGUCAAGUGCAGAGCAUGAUCAACUCCCACAGGCAAGUGGAGCAUGGCUGCAAAGAGGCUGGGAAUUGCUCUUGAAGGACAGAAGCCCAUGAAGAUACGAAGAGGAACAGACAGAGGGAGCAAAAUUAACUUAAAAUACUGCUAGGAAAGGAAGACUUAAAUUCAAAACAGCUUUUUCAGAUUUCCACAGCUACAAUAGUACGCAGUGCAUGUUCAUUCUGGAUUAUUGUUCCCAACUCUCAGAAAAAGUAUAAAUGGAACUGUUUGAAGUAUAAACUCAUAUGUUGUGCCAUAUUUGGUAAACAUAUCGCAACACGAAUGGGUGCCUGACUUCGUCAUUUAUGUGUCUUUUUUGAAAACGCUAGACUUUAAUCAUGUGACUUUGGGACCAGAGUGUUUAAAACCAAAUAGCAUUGUGAAAAUGAUGUUAAAAUGUGGAAAUGAUCAUUAGAAUAACUCAAGAGUCAAAGUCAGACACUUAUUAUAUGCUGCUGAACUUGAGGUAUAAUUGGGUCUGUCUCAUACUGAUGCUAAAAAUAGGUGCAUUGUAAAUGAAGUGGAAGAAGAAUUAUGACACAGGAUCCCAUGAGUUAAAGCCUUUAGAGCAUCAGUCCAGUGGUCAGACAUAAUCUAACAUGGCCAAUAGAUUCUCCUGAAGUGCUCCCUGUCAUUACGAGUCAAUUACUAAAAACAGCAGAAGAGGAGAUGUUUUCAGCACGUUCCACAAAACCAAAACUCAUGAGAUGCUUUAGAGUUUUCUAAAGCAAAGGAGCUCAACUCUAAGAGUGACUGAGAACUGUAAAUAUCUGUACUAUCAAUCAUUUGAUUUCCUUUGAAAAAGAGAGCUCUACAGAUGAGCAAACUUUUAAGAUGCUGGGGAUGAGCUAUUGUUAAGUUAAACCAACUUGCUGGUGAGAACUAAGACAAGGAGAAAUGCGUGUAUACUCAAAUUUUAUCUUCUCCUUCAUGAGGUUUUUCCUUUAACAUUUUCCAUUUACUAGUUGUAGUUGUAUCAAAAUUUCAUGAUGCAAACUUGGUCUUGAGUUUCUCCUAACUACUACCGAAGGAUACUAAAUCUACAAUUAUGUUACAGGCAGUAAGAAGUCAUCACAGAGUAGAACUCCUUGUUCUUGCUGUAUCUGCUUUUGAUUGCACUGUUUCCUAUUUGUGAUUGGUGUUCAUGUUUUCUGCAUAUUUUCUGGAAAAUAUUUACCUUAAAUUAAAUGUAGAAUUGAUGUCUGUUGUGAGAUAACUAUUUCAAGGACACUGGCAACUCCUAGAUGUUUUAUUAACUCACCAUGAGCAGGAUAUUGCCUUGUACUUCCUUCUGAUGUUUAGAACUGCAUAAUUUAAAACUGUGAUAGGGUGUUUAUGAGUGAAUCUGACUAGCGCAAGAACAGAAUAACAAGUCAGAUGGACAAGAAGAGCAGUUUCUGUAUCCUCAGGUAGAUGCAAUGUUUUCAUAAAAUGUCAUGGUUUUCACAACUUGUAGAAAUUCUAUAAGAGACUGAGAAGCACAGUCAGAACUUUGAAUAAAUUAGAUGAUAUGAUUUAGAUGUGUUGCA